ACUUAUCGUUCUUAUUACUUGUAUUUGCUUGCCUAACUACCCCUAAUGAGCACUUAAUACCAGUAAUCUUUCCCUAUACCUCUUGUGUUCAUAUCUAUACUGUCUUCAUGUAGGUUAGGUUAGGUUAGGUUAAGCUAGACUAGGUUAAGUUAGGUUAGGUUAGGUUAUCCUUGCCUAACUACCCCUAAUGAGCACUUAACAACCUUUCCCUAUACCUCUUGUGUUCAUAACUAUACUGUCUUCAUGUAGGUUAGGUUAGGUUAGGUUAAGCUAGACUAGGUUAAGUUAGGUUAGGUUAGGUUAUCCUUGCCUAACUACCCCUAAUGAACACUUAAUAACCUUUCCCUAUACCUCUUGUGUUCAUAUCUAUACUGUCUUCAUGUAGGUUAGGUUAGGUUAGGUUAAGUUAGACUAGGUUAAGUUAGGUUAGGUUAUCCUUGCCUAACUACCCCUAAUGAGCACUUAAUAACCUUUCCCUAUACCUCUUGUGUUCAUAUCUAUACUGUCUUCAUGUAGGUUAGGUUAGGUUAGGUUAAGCUAGACUAGGUUAAGUUAGGUUAGGUUAGGUUAUCCUUGCCUAACUAACCCUAAUUAGCACUGAAUAACCUUUCCCUCUAUCUCUUGUAUUCAUAACUAUACUAUCUUUGUGUAGAGCUUGAUAUCAUGUUAUAUAUUUUUAUACAUUCAUAGCCUUUGUGAAUGGUGGAGAAACUGACUAUAAAAUGCCCUUGAAUACUGAUACUUAGGUUAGGUUAGGUUAAGUUAGGUUUAAAUAGUAAUAUAUACCUUGCAAUACUAGUACAUGUUAAGUUAGGUUUAAUAAGGGAAUGAGAGAAAGAUUGAUGUAUAGGUUAGAGAUUAAAAUGAAGAGAAUAGAAGAGAAAGGAGGAAGAAACAAGUUGAGAUUUAGAUGAAGAGAAUAAAGGAGAAAGAUGUUGAGAUUUAAGUGAAAAGAGUAGAGGAGAAAGAAGAGAGGAAAAUAAAGUAAAAAAUGUGAAGAGAAAGGAGAAAAAAUGUAAUACUUAAACCAGCCCAGCCAUGUAGAGGAAGUAGAAGAGAAGUUAAUAAAUGAAAGAAGAGAUAAAGUAGAAGUUAGACAUUUGUUGAAGACAGUAGAGGAAAAAGCAAGUCUAAUAAGUUAUGUGAAGAGAAAAGGGGAGAAAAAAUAUAAUAUUUAAACCAAGCCAGCCAUGUAGAGGAAGUAGAAGAGAAGUUAAUAAAUGAAAGAAGAGAUAAAGUAGAGUUAGACAUUUAGUGAAGAGAAUAGAGGAGAAACGAGAGAGGAAAAAACAGUAAAAAGCAAGUCUAAAUAGUUAUGUGAAGAGAAAUGAGGAGAAAAAAUGUAAUAUUAAAACCAUAUAAAAAAAAGUAGAAGAGAAGUUACUAAAAUUCCAAAGAAACAAGAACACUGCCUCACACUAACCAGGUUAUCAUUCUGGCCCUGGGCGGCACUCAGCAUAUUUGUGGCACCCUAACUAUGCUACUGGCACCCCUACCUUUACUGGCACUGUUUGGUUCUGUUAGUAUAUGCCUGUCACCAUUCCUAAUUAACUAACCAGGCACUCAAUCUGGCCCUGGGUGGCACUCAGUAUAAUUAUGGCACCCUAACUAUACCACCUUAAUUGGCACCAGUUGGCACUCUUGUAGUAUGUCUGUGGCACCCUAACUGUACUACCUUGAUUGGCAUUGGUGGGCAUGCUUAACAUGUGUAUUGGCACCCUAAUUGUACUACCUUAUUGGCACUUGUAGUAUAUGUAUGGCACCCUUCCUUGUUCUACCUUUUUGGCACUCUUUUGGCACUGACUGACGCUGAGCUUCCAACGAGAGUGUAUUGGACUUGCUCUUCUGGUUGAUAACAUUGUAUUAUUAGUAUUAUUGCCUCUCUGU